GCUGUGGGAGAUGACAGGUAUCCAACACGGGCGCAGAAGCUCAUGAAGGUCCUUCCUUCUUCCAGCAACUGAUUCAUUCCUAAGUUGGAACAGACGGAAACUUCCAGAGAAAUGAAAACAACAAAUCAUCUCCGUAAGUGCGAUGGAUUCUGAAAUUGGAUUAACCUCCCAUUCUGAAACAAGCUUCAUCUGUCUCCCUUCCAGAAGCAAACAUAAAUCAACAUUACCAGGGCACGUGGCAAUGAAAAUGAACACGGCUCACACCUGGCAGCCAUGCCAAGUAGAAGACAUCCAUAAAGGCACAAGCCAAGGCUCACGGCCUUCUUUGCACAAGAAACAUCCCAGCUCCGGGUGCAUUCCAACUCCGGGUCCUGGUGCGGAAGUCAUCCUUGACAAAUUCAAACUCAGGCAAGCAGACGUGAAUUGAUCAAUGGCCACCAACAAAGCAGAACCUGCCAAUUAAUCCAUUUUGGGGAUCGAACUACAGAGGGAAGUGCAACAGUGAAGCCGCCAGUGGCACCAUCCAGUUUUAUCUCGAGUUACUGUCAUAAAAUACCCCACAGCAGAUCUUCUCUACUCAUGUGUUGCACCAAGACCCUCGCCUUUCCCAGACCCCCGUCCUAGCAGUGAGGUCAAAUACAGUCCCUGGGACAACAGACUAUCAUCGGAUGGCCGGACCUGCUCUCGUCUGCCCAGCGGGUCACUCUCCCUCUCCAGA